GACGAACGCUGGCGGCGUGCUUAACACAUGCAAGUCGAACGGAAAGGCCCUGCUUUUGUGGGGUGCUCGAGUGGCGAACGGGUGAGUAACACGUGAGUAACCUGCCCUCGACUUUGGGAUAACUUCAGGAAACUGGGGCUAAUACCGGAUAGGAGCUCCUGCUGCAUGGUGGGGGUUGGAAAGUUUCGGCGGUUGGGGAUGGACUCGCGGCUUAUCAGCUUGUUGGUGGGGUAGUGGCUUACCAAGGCUUUGACGGGUAGCCGGCCUGAGAGGGUGACCGGCCACAUUGGGACUGAGAUACGGCCCAGACUCCUACGGGAGGCAGCAGUGGGGAAUAUUGCACAAUGGGCGGAAGCCUGAUGCAGCAACGCCGCGUGCGGGAUGACGGCCUUCGGGUUGUAAACCGCUUUCGCCUGUGACGAAGCGUGAGUGGCGGUAAUGGGUAAAGAAGCACCGGCUAACUACGUG
rnacentral:rRNA from 1 species